UACGGGGGGGGUAAGCGUUGUUCGGAAUUACUGGGCGUAAAGGGCGCGUAGGCGGCUCAUGAAGGCUGUGGUGAAAGUCCGGGGCUCAACCUCGGAUCGGCCGUGGCGACUCGUGGGCUGGAGCACUGUAGAGGCGGGUGGAAUUCCGGGUGUAGCGGUGGAAUGCGUAGAGAUCCGGAAGAACACCAGUGGCGAAGGCGGCCCGCUGGGCAGUGGCUGACGCUGAGGCGCGACAGCGUGGGGAGCAAACAGG
rnacentral:rRNA from 1 species